rnacentral:rRNA from 1 species
GACGAACGCUGGCGGCGUGGAUUAGGCAUGCAAGUCGAACGGUAUCAUCCUUUCGGGGGUGAGAGAGUGGCGAACUGGUGAGUAACACGUAGGUUAUCUACCCUCAAGACGGGGACAACCCAGGGAAACUUGGGCUAAUACCGGAUGAGAGUGCGAGAGAUUGCAUUUAAAAGGAUGGCGAAAGUUGUCGCUUAGGGAUGAGCCUGCGGUCUAUUAGUUAGUUGGUGAGGUAAGAGCUCACCAAGGCGAUGAUAGAUAGGCGGCCUUAACGGGUGGUCGCCCACACUGGGAUUGAGAUACGGCCCAGACUCCUACGGGAGGCAGCAGUCGAGAAUAGUCUACAAUGGCCGGAAGGCUGGAUUAGUGCGACGCCGCGUGAACGAGGGAGCCCUUCGGGGUGUAAAGUUCUUUUCUAUACGAGCAGUGCUAUAUAUAUGGAUAGUAUAUAUAGAGGGAUAGUAGUAUAGGAAUAAGCAACGGCUAAACUCCGUGCCCAGCAGCCGAC